GUGGGGAAUAUUGGACAAUGGGCGAAAGCCUGAUCCAGCAAUGCCGCGUGAGUGAUGAAGGCCUUAGGGUUGUAAAGCUCUUUUACCAGGGAUGAUAAUGACAGUACCUGGAGAAUAAGCUCCGGCUAACUCCGUGCCAGCAGCCGCGGUAAUACGGAGGGAGCUAGCGUUGUUCGGAAUUACUGGGCGUAAAGCGCGCGUAGGCGGCUCAGCAAGUCAGGGGUGAAAUCCCGGGGCUCAACCCCGGAACUGCCUUUGAAACUGCUAGGCUAGAAUCCUGGAGAGGCGAGUGGAAUUCCGAGUGUAGAGGUGAAAUUCGUAGAUAUUCGGAAGAACACCAGUGGCGAAGGCGACUGACUGGACAAGUAUUGACGCUGAGGUGCGAAAGCGUGGGGAGCAAACAGGAUUAGAAACCCCUGUAGUCC
rnacentral:rRNA from 1 species